rnacentral:rRNA from 1 species
UACGGAGGGGGCUAGCGUUGUUCGGAAUUACUGGGCGUAAAGCGCACGUAGGCGGCUUUGUAAGUUAGAGGUGAAAGCCCGGGGCUCAACUCCGGAAUUGCCUUUAAGACUGCAUCGCUAGAAUUGUGGAGAGGUAAGUGGAAUUCCGAGUGUAGAGGUGAAAUUCGUAGAUAUUCGGAAGAACACCAGUGGCGAAGGCGACUCACUGGCCCGGUACUGACGCUGAGGUGCGAAAGCGUGGGGAGCAAACAGG